rnacentral:rRNA from 1 species
CGGAAUUGCUAGUAAUGGCAGGUCAGCAUACUGCCGUGAAUACGUUCCCGGGCCUUGUACACACCGCCCGUCACACCAUGAGAGUUGGGAAUACCCGAAGCCUGUGAGCUAACGUUAAGAGGCAGCAGUCGAAGGUAGAAUCAAUGAUUGGGGUGAAGUCGUAACAAGGUAGC